rnacentral:misc_RNA from 1 species
AGAGGGAACCUGGUGAGAAUCCGGGACUGUCCCGCAGCGGUAUGCAGGAACGACCGCCGUCUUGGAAGUAGACAAGCACUGGUCUCAACGACUGGGAAGCGACGGCCAGUAGGAGCACCCACCGGGUGCGAGCCUGCGAGUCCGAAGACCU